AAACGCCUUAAUAAUGAGUUAGACAUCUUCAACACCCUUGAAAUUUUUGAACUGGUUCGAGCGUCCACUACUUUUUAUCCGGUAACAAAAAAAUUGCUGGAAAUUCUCGUAACAUUGCCUUGCACUACGUGUACAGUUGAGAGGUCGUUCAGCAGUCUUCAAAGAAUAAAAACAUGGUUGCGGAGUACAAUGGUCGAAGAUCGCCUUAAUGGGUUAGCUCUAAUGAGAAUUCAUCGAAAACAAAUAUUACCAAAAAA
rnacentral:lncRNA from 1 species